AAAAACAAGUAAAAUAAAAUAUUCUUAUUGUUUAGAGAUUAUCUUGUUUAGACUUUUAUCAAUUAACAUAAAUGUAUACAAUUAUAUUACUUGUGUGUAUAAAAAACUUACAUGGUUAGCAUGUCCACUCUCCUGGGAGCAUCAUACUUGUUUCUUCAAGAACUAAAGAAAGGGGAAGUGCUGCCCCAGAGGCUGACUGUGAGUCAGCAAGUCUCCCUGAUGGUUACAUAAACAUGAAACUUGAAGUUAGGAAAAAAUUGAGUAAGCUAGACACAUUUGCUUCUCCUUUUAAAAAUGGAAAUGGCAAGCUCUUGCCACUUUCAUAUGCAGCCGGACAUGGUGCAUUUGUGUUUCUGAGGUUAUUGUACAAGACGAAAUGGCACCUAGGUUUCCAAUGCUGAUUUAUCCAGCACAGACCUUGGGAACAGCAUGAUUGAUCCUCAGCUUCAUCUCUGAGUCAUCUCACUGUGCCCAGCGUGAUGCUUGUUAUUAGUUGAGUCAUUUGGAUGGAUGCUGACAAUUUACUAUGCCUUAAGCAGAGAGGCUGUAUAGGAAGCAUGGCAGCAUCUUCUUGGCUUCUGGGGAGGCCUCAGGAAACUUACAAUCAUGGUGGAAAGUAAACGGAGAGCCAGCACUUCAUAUGGCUGGAGCAAAAGGAAGAGAGAGCAGAGGGGAGGUGCCACACGCUCUUAAACAACCAGAUCUCACGAGAACUCUGUCAUAAGAACAGCAUCAAAAGAAGAAAUCUGCUCCCACAAUUCAAUCAUCUCCCACCAAGCCCCACCUCCAACACUGGGGAUUACAAUUUGACAUGAGAUUUGGGUGGGGACACAGAUCCAAACCAUAUCAAAUAUUCCCUGCUUGCAGCAGCCAUUUGAACAUAGAGGCCAUAUUUAUAGACAUCUCAACCUCCUCUUUGGAGGUUGACAUGAUCAACCUCACUGAGAUACUUGAUAUAUUGCCAGGAUGACACACACUAUUGACCACAGUUCUGAGAGCCAUUUCCUGUCAUUCAGUGUGAUUAUUGGUUAGGUGUAGAUAAGGAUUGUUAUAAGUUGAAUUGUGCCCCCCUCACCAAAAAUAUGUGUUCAAGUCCUAACCCCUCAUUCCUUAGAAUGUGGCCUUACUUGGAAAUAGAGUCUUUGUAGAUUUAAACAAGUUAAGAUGAGGCCAAUUGAGUGGAUUCUAAUCCGAUAUGACUGGUGUCCUUAUAAAAAGGGGAAAUUGGGAUCCAAACACAGACCAGCAGAUAAGGAGAAUGCCAUGGGAAGGUAAAGGCAGAGAUCGGGGGAUGCAUCGGCAAUUACCAGAAGCUAGGAGAGGCUUGGAACAGAUUCUCCCUUACAGCCUCCGAAGGAACCAACCCAGCUGACACCUCGAUCUCAGAUUUCUAGCUUCCAGAACUGUGAAUCGAUACAUUUUUCUUGUUUAAACCACCCAAUCUGUGGUACUUUUUUGUUGUUGUUACAGCAGCCCUAGCAAACAAAUAUGGGGAUGUUGGCAGGAGCUCGAAGAAAAUCACCUUUGAGGAUAUCAUAUAUGGGGCUAAAAGCAGCAGUGAGGAAAAGAAUCAAUUAGAGAAAAUCUAAUUGUACAAAUUUCCUUACAACUGAUGAACCAGCAUUCUCAAGAUCAUGUUUAGAAUGAAAAAUAUUAAAAAUAUAUUUUAAAGUGA